rnacentral:rRNA from 1 species
GUGGGGAAUCUUGGGCAAUGGGCGAAAGCCUGACGCAGCGACACCGCGUGGGGGAUGAAGGCCUUUCAGGUCGUAAACCCCUUUCGGCAGGGACGAAGCGAUCUCGUGACGGUACCUGCAGAAGAAGCCUCGGCUAACUACGUGCCAGCAGCCGCGGUAACACGUAGGAGGCGAGCGUUGUCCGGAAUCAUUGGGCGUAAAGAGCGCGCAGGCGGCUUGGCAAGUCGAGUGUGAAAUCCCGGGGCUCAACCCCGGGACUGCAUCCGAUACUGUCAGGCUAGAGGUAGGUAGGGGAGAUCGGAAUUCCUGGUGUAGCGGUGAAAUGCGCAGAUAUCAGGAGGAACACCGGUGGCGAAGGCGGAUCUCUGGGCCUUACCUGACGCUCAGGCGCGAAAGCUAGGGGAGCGAACAGGAUUAGAUACCCUGGUAGUCCUAGCCGUAAACGUUGGGUGCUAGGUGUGGGCGGAUAUCAACCCCGUCCGUGCCGAAGCUAACGCAUUAAGCACCCCGCCUGGGGAGUACGGCCGCAAGGCUAAAACUCAAAGGAAUUGACG